UAAACGACCACAAGUGAGGUAGUUAUUCCUUCAGUCCCUGUUAAUUAAAUUUGUUUGUGGCUUAACUACCUCUAUUGACGCGCGUGUGUGCGAGAGUGACGAAAGCGGCGAUGGCAGGAGGGCGACGCAAUCCUUCCCGUGUUCCACCACCCAAACCUGUAGCACUGCUGGACCAUGACUUGAAGAGGCUCGGACAUGCAGAAGAUGGACCGCCCCUGAUGCCCAUAACACCUCCUAAGCACAUGACCAUACCGGAUAUUCCCCGCAUCUCGGAGCUGGGGUUUGAGACGCUGAUGCUGGUGUUUAGCCUCAUGUCCUUGGCUCUCCAGUACCUCAACAUCUACCGCACUGUCUUCUGGCUGCCUCAUUCUCACACCAAAUAUGCUAUGAACCUGUACCUGAUAGAUGGAAGUGUAGUGUGGUUUAUCGUGGUGACACUGACCCGGAGGUGGGGGUGGAGCAUCCUCAAGCUGGUGAUCACACGCUGCCUUCACCAGUCUCUGUGGAAGUCAGCUCUCUCUAUCGCACGUGUGGUGUUUGUGUGCAUCAUUGCAGCACUUCUUGGCUUUUGUCUCUACACAAUCAGCGACGCUCUUACCUACAUCAAGAUUUUGGCUCUUGGAUACCCGCUUGUAUUUUAUGUCUUCAUAUUUGACAUGGAGAUCACAUCAUUCCUAGAAGUUAUUCCAGUCCCUUUACAUUACAAGGAGGAAGGAACCAAGGCCAGACAAGUGAGAAGUAUGAAUAUGUGGAAAGAUGGAUGGUUGCCUCAGGAAACAUACACAGCUGUGCCGCGUCUCAUUCAGCACGCUUGCUUGAACAGCGCUGAGGGAGUACGCGGAGAGGUGGAAUUCCUGACUAACGACUGCAACAAGCGCAUGGCACAAGUCAUGUACCAGACCAUCGUCAUCGUUUACUACACCACGCUCAUUCCGUGCUUCUUUGUCCCGAGUCCAUUGUACUAUGAUGUGCCGUGGGUGUCAUUUCACAUACUAUUUGUGACAACUACGUGCUUCAUGUGGCACCUCCUCUAUUGUUACCCUGCAAGAUACUGUGAUAUUCUCCACCGAGCGUCGAUGCACCUCGGGGGAUGGGCUCGGGUUGAAGGUCGGUCAGCUCAUGCUCCUUACAACCCUUGGUCCAAUUCUGUGUUGUGGCCGCAGGGAGCUUUGGUCAAACACAAUCGGGAGCUGUACCGAGCGGAGGGCAUCACCAACGCUGCUGAGCCCGGCAACACUACACAUGCCAGACUAUAUGCGAUCUUCUGUGACCCUUCCCGGCCAGUGUUGGUGCUGGUAUGGGUGUGUGUCUGCUGUGUCCUGCUACACUUAGUAUUGCUGGCCUCCUUACACCAAUGGCAUCAGUUACUGGCCACGGCACUGGUCCUGUCGGCAUCGUACGCGGCACUCUACUACCUCUUAAGAGACUAUUUGGUUCUCAGAAAAGUUUAUCAGCAAGAGCAACAGCUACAAGAGAGAGUUGUCAAUUAAAUUAUGCUCGUAAUAUGUAGACUUAUAAUAAAUACGAUAAUCUUGGAUAUAUAAUAAUUUCCAGGAAACGGCGUGUGAUAUAUCGCGUUCGUGAGACAUUCCACGUGAAUAGUGACGUCAGUGAAAUGUAUGUGACGUGUAUGCAAGUGUUAGAAAUUGAUGAUGGACAUGUCACGGUAAAGACAUGAAGAAAGGUUUAGUUUAAAUUUCAUGUUCAAAAUGAAAUCAAACACACACAGGUUCUGAAAAAAAUUGUUUCAGAAAAAAGUGAGUCGUGAGCAAAUUACUACUGUUUUCUUCCACCUGUUGGGAGUAUGUUGAAGCAGUAACUUGUUAUCAGUACUGUCUAGGCAGGAGAAUUUUCAUAUAGGUACUUUAUUGUAUUUCUGUUUUUAUUUCUGAGGUACAAUUUUGUGGCUUCUUUUGACACACAAGGAAAAAGCUCUCUCAGGGGUGAGUUGGUUCUUUAUUUAAGUGAAUUUAUUCAUCAUGGUGGUACAGCUGUAAUGUGAGUAUCUCUCUCACCACUGUGUCAAGGGUUCAAGUCCUGCUUGUCCCGGACACAUGUGGGAAGGGUGUUAUCCAGUGCGACCCUACCAAACAUCACAGGUUUCCUCCGGGCACUCUGGUGUCCUUCUGUACUAGCACUGGAUGGAACCAACUACCUGAACAGCUAGUAAACUGGUAAGUGGUGAAAUGAUAAAUGAAUGAUUUGUGGUACAAGCCAGCAUGGUCACAGUGAGGUAAUUCUGUACAACCCUGAUAAAAGACGAAUCAUUUAAGAAAUGAUGUUAUAUGACACCAGUUCUUAGAGUACAGUACAGUAUUUGUAUUUAUAUUUGUAGUCUCCCCAAUUGUUUUCUGUAUUGAUAUAAGCAGUUUUAUUUGAAGACAAGGCAAUGAAUUAAGUAAAUAUUACAGUAUUUUUGCAAAUAAAUCACUGUAGUUGCAUGUGGUCCAUGUAUAUGCUGAUAACCACAUCUGAAAAAAGAAAACACCAAGUUCCCAAGUACUUUCAUCUAUUUCACAUCCUUAGGGGUGAGUACAGACUGAGGUGGAGAUAGUGCAAGACAAUACAUAAUGUCAGAAUAUAUUUUAACAUUUUCAUAAUGUUCUUAAGAAUUUGAACCUUGUUAAUGAAAAGAAACAACUAAGAAUAAAACUUGACGAGGAAGCUGCCUUUGGACAAUCUCUAGGUCUUAUCUCACAGGAAGUGGCUACAGAUUAUAUCAGUUAGUGUUUGUUGUUAUGGUUUGUUAUUUUGUACACCAGGUCUGCUUACCCACCACUGUUAGUGAUGAAUUCAGAGCCGAGUCAAAGUGUAUUCAUCGCUUAAUUAUUAAUACAGUACAGUAUUUUGCCAGGUAUUAUUCUGAACACUGUACAGAAUCCCACUAAUUCUUUACAUUAAAUUUAAUUGGGAUUAUUACAGAAUAGAAACAUAAUUAGAGAUGUUCUAGAAACUUUAAAAGUGAUAAAUUAUAUGAAACUAAACAAAAAGAAUUACACAAUAAUAUACAGUGUACAGUAUUAGCUUACAAAAUGAUUAGAAAUACUGUAUAUAGCUAAGAACUCUAUAAUGCUGCCCAGUGAAGGUUUCAAUUGUGAUGAUGGUCUGAAGGUUGAAGUAACUGUCUCAUCAACAACAUAUAUACUGCUUGCAUCAAUAUGAUUUGAAAAUUAUACUGUACAUUCACGGUCAUAAGUUCUGUCGCUUCUGCCGAUUCACGAACCCCGAGAUUCAUGAACCCUAAGCAUUUAUGGACAGUAUAAUGCAUCAUUGCUUACUGCUUCGGGUUCACGAGUCUGGAUCUUAGGGUUCAUGAGUCUGAAUAUCUGGGUUCGUGGAGUACAAGAAGAUACGACUGGAUUCUUGACCGUGCCUGUACAAAUUCUAUUCACAAAUCCAAAAUUAUCUAAGAAGAAUGCUAUAAAUGCCCUGUGUCCCUCUGUUAGCACUGACAUGUUAGAUUACAAAGCUAGAGAAAUUAUAUUUCACUUGAGUUAGCUGGUAUGGUAUAAAUCAAGGUGUAAGGCUGGGGAAAAAUGGAUUCCUGGAUGUAUGAUUUUUGUAUUUGUUUUUUAUGAGACUGAGGAACUUGUGUUAUCAGAGAGAGAACUUCAUUUAACUUAUGGGAGAUAUUGUUUUCUUGUUAUUGCCUCUAGUAUUGUGCGCCAUCUUGUUUUAAAGGUUUAUUUAGUAGUAUCCUGAAGUGCACAAUCAGUGUUCUAUGGACCUCAGUGUGGGUAAGACCUCCACUUCUCCUCCUCCUCCUUCCCUUCCUCCUUCCAUGAAGUUUUUAAUCUAAGUGUGUCUGUCUUUCCUCACUUCUUAACAUAAAAGAUUUAUUUAUUUUUUCAAUAGUGUGUUAGUUAUAUUAUUUCUGUAAUUAGGUUGUUAGUAAGUAGAUGCAUUUUAUUGCAUAUUUACAUUAUCUUAUUUUUUUAUAAUGCCAGUAUAUAUUAUAUAUAUACAGUAUAUGAACACUAAUAUAUACCGGUAUAUACAUUGUAUGUUUGAUCCAUAUAAACUUCUAAGUUUUCUCCUGUAUGACGUCCUCCCUCAAGAGAAAAUAACUGUCAGUUACCCCCCCCAAUACAGGACCCCACAUUAGAACACUGACAGUGCAUAUCACCUUUUUAUAUACAUGAUAGAAAUCAGUUAAUAUACCUGCCUUGUACACAUGCUCCAUGAAAUAUCUUUACUGAGGGACCCGAUGAAUUUUAAAAUGUACAUUGCGACUUCUGUUCUUUCGGUAGUGUUGUCAAAAUCCUUCGUCCGUUGUGUCACAUCGGCUCACACAAAAAGGGUAAAGAUAUUUAUUUGGAGGAGUGUACAUCCCAGGCUGACUCUUAACUAGUCUUGUUUGUUUAGUGCUUUUAUGCCCGACUGGAGAUGAUGGUCUACUUAGCUCCCCAAGAUUACUUUUGUGUACACUGUGACAGGUUGAGAAUUAUGGCUUAGCUUAGGGUGAGGAUUAUGGCUUGACAGGUUGAGAAUUAUGGCUUGGCUUAGGGUGAGGAUUAUGGCUUGACAGGUUGAGAAUUAUGGCUUAGCUUAGGGUGAGGAUUAUGGCUUGACAGGUUGAGAAUUAUGGCUUGGCAGGUUGAGAAUUAUGCCUUGACAGGUUGAUAAUUUUGGCUUGGCUUAGGGUGAGGAUUAUGGCUUGGUGACUUUUAUUAAGGUUAACGUACGGUAUAUUCAAGUUAGAUAUAGUAGUAUGACAUUGCAGACAAAAUUAUGAAAUACUUUGAUGUCUGAUACAGAGACAACAUCACACCAAACAACCUUGAUAUUGGUGUAUGACAGCCUCGUGUAGGUUUAAAAUCUGCGUAAAUAAACCUGAUUUAUGUUUAGUUUGAAGAUUGAUUAUAUUUUAGAGAUUAAAUCAUAUCAGUUUUAUUUAAAUUCAAAACUAUUUGUAUCUCAGUCAUUAUAUGUAUACUGUAUGUAUAUUUGUAGUUAAUUAUUACGUUUUUGUAUUUAUUUUGGUAUUGAUUAUAUUGUGUAAUCUAACAUGGCCUCAGAUUCAUAGCUUUGGUUGUGAGCUUUGUUGGUACUGUACAGUUUAGUAAAGCACAAAGUUUGACCAAGACAUAAUGAUGAUAAAGCUUUAUAUAUUUUGAAGAGUUUAUUUACGGUACAUGUUUGUGUUGUUGACAUUCACGUACAUAAAAUGGCAUCAGCUUUUUCUUUUAUUUAAUUUUUUUUCAUUUAUUCUCAGUAUAUGUUUUGGACAAUCACGUGAAAUAUAUUUGGAGAGGAAUGCUGAAGAGUUUGAGUGGUUGGUUAGGAUAAGAUACUUCUCUAUUUAUUUCUAACAAGUUGAAUAUUAGGAAGACUAUAUGCAUUUAGAAAUAUGUUAUACUGUAAUUUAUGUGUGAAUUUUUUAAGUUAAUGUCUAUAUUUUUAUAUGGAUUAUUAACCUCUUGUGUAUGGAGGUCUCUCUGUGCUGAAUAAGGGUUCAGUAACAAUGGACACUUUAGAAUCAUUGAGUAUUUGAGUAACAUCAAAAGAGAAAGUACUGGUGACCUUGUUUUACACUUACACUCUAGUUUGAUCAUUAAGUUGGUCUGUUCCCAGAUAGGAUGUGCUUAGUUGUAUGAUGUGGCUUCUUAUUAAUUGUAUUUUGCAGUAGAUUUGCUCCACGAGGUUUCAGAUGAUAGAUUUGUUCCACAUAGGUAUCAGACAGUAGAUUUGCUCCACACUAAAGUUUCAGAUGGUAGAUUGGCUCCACUUAAGAAGUUUCAGAUGAUAGAUUGGCUCCACACAAGAGGUUUCAGAUGGUGAAGUUACCAAGUCUCAAAUUGUGUCGUAUAAGAUAAGGUGUUAUGGGUGUUCAUCUUAAAGAAUAAGAUAGAGUACAGUAUAUUGGUUCAAUGAGUUAUGCUUCAGAGGAUACUGUACAAUAUUAUAUAAUUUACAGGUUACUUCAAGGAAAGGUUACACUUAAUAUUUUUUGCCGGUGUGCUGUUACGAAAAAUAGGAAACCAGUGCUUUUUUACCCUAAUAUAAUUUUUAUUUGACGUAGGAUGAGUAUUAAUUUACUGUUUUCAUGGAAAUAUGAUAUAAAUAUUUACUGUCUCAACUAUACAUUUUUUUUUAUAGAGUUAGAUUUAGAAAGAAACCAAAGAUUUUUUUUCUUCUAUUACUUACUCAUAAUUACUGUAAUAUGGUAGUUAACUCACUCACUCACUCAUAGCUGCUAUGAAUAUAUAUUUUCUCACAGUCUUGAAAAUCCUCAACACAUCACUUAGUAUCUGUCUUUAUGUUGAUAUUACUGUCUUCGUCUAUUAUUCCAAGAGCACCGACAGCAACGACGAUCAAAAUAUUUGCUACAAUAUCCUUCCUGUAGGCUGGGCCACGACUCACAUGAAUCACUUGUUUAUUGUUGGUACAGUAUCAGAGGAAAUUAACUUUUGAGUCAUGAGUACACCUGCUAAGAAUGGGGGAAGAAGGAAGAUGGGAGAAUGAGUGCAGAAACACCUGAAAUAUUGAGAAGUAAAACUUUGAAGGGAUGGAGAUAUGGUAAAGUGAGCUUGUAACUGAUAGUGUGCAGGGUGAGUGUGGGUAUGAAUGUAUGUAUGUAUGUUGGUCUUAGUGUGGGUCCUUGCUAAGGGAUUUUGUUGUGGCAUUGAAGAGAGUAAAAGGAUUCAUGUGUGAGUCUCCUUAUUAUGUAAUUUAUAUACUGUAGUAUAUUAAUUUAUUAUCUUAUUUACGUAAUUAUUUUAUUCUUUUUUGAGGGGGUAAAUUUUCAAGUAAGUUGGGUAUAUACAUUUCAUUGUUACUAAUAAAAGCAUAUUGUAUUACAGUAUAAUACCUGUAAUUUGCAAUAUUAUAAAUAAUUUUAUUUUGCUUCAAGGGCCAGUGUGAGCUCAUUCAAAGGCCAAUCAGUGGCAAAGAAAAGGAUAAAAGUAAAAGUAAUAAUAAUUUAUUCUACAUUAGACUCGAACUAACUUGAGAUUUUGUUGAUUUUUGGCUGUAAUAAAAAUUCAAAAGACUCUUCAUUUUGACUGGGAGGUGUAGUGUGUAAAGAUUCAUAACAUAUUCUUUAGCCAUCUUCAAAACACUUGUUAAAAGACAGAGUGAUGUAUAGAUGACAUGUGUAUUACCAAAUCUCUUUUCUGGCUAAAGUUUCUGCCUAUUGUUUCUUCCCUGUAUGUAUGUGUGUACCAGUGUGCCUAUGUAUGAAUGCCUACCUGUUUACAUGUGUAUCAACCCCUUCAUGUAUACUUGCUGGUAUGUAUACAUUUCCCUGAAUUUGUGAAUCGUCUUGAGUGUGAGUGUUUGUGUGUGAGUGCUUCUGUUCGAGUGUUUGCAUAUGACUGUAUUUUAGAUUGGAAGUUUCACUUUUGAUGCUGGAGUAAGAUAAUGUAUUAUCACUGUUCAGGGAUGCUCAUAAAAAAUAUAGUUCUUCUCUGAGGUGAUAGUGUGUAUUAUAAUGUGUGUCUUGACGUUUUUCUAGGAGUAACAGCUUCUUAUUUACACACACACACACACACGAGGAAAGUUAAUGGCAUUUCUCUGAUAACUAACCCCAAAAGUUUUGCCUGAUCUUAUGGAAUGAUAUUCAGGUGUUAUGCUUCUGAAAUACAUGAACGAUAUUGACAAAAAUUAAAGUAUUAAAGUGAUAAAUAAUAAA
rnacentral:misc_RNA from 1 species